GGUUGAUUAAUUGAUCAUUGUAAUUAUCUAUUAUGAAAAACAUGUAUUUAGCUCAUAACUUUAUGACAUAUCCAAAAACAUGUUCCGAAUUAGAUAACAUAGUAAAAUGUUUCCAACAAGUUAAAAUUUCUUAAAAUUGUUAUGCCAUUACUUCAAUCAACCAACUUUUCACCUUUAAAUAGCAAUCGAUUUUGGGUUUUACUUGAGCUAAAUUAAUUGCCACUACGAUAACACUUUUAGAAGAUUCGGAAAAUAUAUUUUUUCUAGCGGCGUACAUCGAAUGUGUAGUCAAUGAAUAUCACAAUGCUACAAAUUGCUAUCAAAAUCUAUUGAAGCACUUGUUGUAUAAUCUUGACAUAGUAAUCAUUGUGUGUACAAACCAGUCAUGCAUUUCAUUUCAUUCUGUGCGGCUCGCGGCUGUGCCCGUAGGUACGAGUUCUGAUGUUACAACUUACAGGUAAAAAUUAUAUACAUUGUACGAAAUCAAGUUGCAGCCAUUUUUAUGCAACGUUGCCAUGCUGUCACGCUGGGAAAUCAUAUUAUAUUAUACUACAAUAUCUACCUUUGAGUACCUAUAGAAGACAGAAGUUAUUAUCGAUUAUUCGAGACUGCGCAAGUUAACCAAUUCUACUUAUGACAUAAAAUCAAUCAUUACUAAAAGACAAUCGAUUAAUGUAAAUUAUUUUUCAACGAAGAUGGCCUGUUGUAUUGUUGCUGUUAUUACAAAAAUGAUGCCGUUGUUAAUGUACUUGAUGAACGACCUAAAUAAUUUCUUAAUCAUCAUGAUGAGAUAUUUGGAAGAAUCUUCACUCUACAAUACCAACUAAAUGAAUGCACUGUAUAAGAAUAAGAUACCUGAUCAACUGUAAAAUAAAUAAUAAAUACAUGACUAAAUAAAUUUAUUUACAACAUACCAUGAUUUUAAUUGUUUAUUGUGUAAUAGGUAUUACUAUUUAUGUAACGAUGCUGUAGUUACAACAGGUAAACCUUUUUUGGACUGAAUGUUUCCGUUCACUAUUAUAGAGUAUUGGGGCACUAAUGUGCAAAUGUGCCCUACUUUCAAUGACAACAGAAAACCAAUCUUAGGCCUUCGCCAAAUAUGCACAUACAUCGCUCACUUGUAUAUUAUGACAGAAUUCACUUUACUGUCACAUUAAAAAUUGAUUCAUUUAAUGGUUUGCUUAAUCAUGUUUAAGAGUCCAUUAGCUCACUAUAUAAACUAGACUAUGUGAUUCGUAUAACACAAAACAUUUGUUAUGUCAAAAAGAAUAAUUUUUAAAUUUUUUUAUAACACAUUUUUAAUUCUUUAUUUCAAAGCAAGUAUUUUUUUUAGUAUACUUUUAUUAAUAUUCUAGUUGAAUUUUUGAGUUAUUAGGGAUUAAUUAUGUAACCAGGUAGCCAUAUAUAUAAAUAGUAAAUAGCCUAUAAGGUCAGUAAUCUUAUGUUUUCUAAUAAUUUAUUUUAGAAAUAUACAAUUUAAAUCAUAUUAGUUGGUUGCAACAUAUGAUUUAAGUUAAAGAAAAAUUAUUUUUAAAAUAUGCAGCAUAUAAUAAUGGGCUUACAGCAGAAUUUACCAAACAAGAUUUAAUGAAGUCUGGCACUCUCAAUUCUUAAUCAUAAAUCAAAUACAAUAUUGAUUAAAUAUAAUUUUUGUUUAUAAAAUUAUUAAAAUAAGAAAUUUAAUAACUCAAUACUUUUAAAUCUUAUUAUCAGUUUCUGUAUGGGAGAUACUACAACAUGUUAAUACUAAACAUACAUUUAUACUCUACUAUUCAAUUGAAAAAAAUGUAAUAUAUAAAUAAAUAUUACACAUAUUUAUGAAAUAUUUUAAUUAUCACUUUUCUAAAUUAUAGCCUCAUAAUUUACUUAAUACUUCCUUGCCUUAGGUAAGUUUGUUCAUUAAUUAUAUAAAUACAGGAAGAAUUUAAAACAAAUAAGACACUAAAUUGUAUUAAUUAUUUUAAUAUGAUCGUUUAUAUUACACGAAAAGGAAACAUUGAUGUCAAUUGUAUUAAAAAUCAGAAUUAUGCUUUUUUGGUUGCAGCUUUCUUCUUUCUGAAUUCAGCAAACUUGGUCCUCAAAGCUGUCCUCUUUUCG